AUUUAAGUAGUUUAAAUAAAAAUAAUGAUUUGUGGUGUCAUAGAUGUAAAUUUUACCUUGAGUU
rnacentral:tRNA from 1 species